UUACAACUUCUUCCAGAAAGGAUUCAUCAGAGGUGGCAGUUUCAUAGUAUUGGUUUGAUUUUAAAGAAGCUCCUUCAUACUGGGAACUCCUUAAAGAUACGUCGAGAAGGUGUGCGUCUUUUCCUUUUGUGGUUGCAAGCACUUCAGAAUAACUGUAGUAAAGAACAGUUGUGGAUGUUUUCAUGCUUAAUUCCUGGGUUUUCAUCACCACAAUCUGAAUAUGGGCCUCGAACACUAGAUAAUCUCAUUAACCCUCCACUUAAUGUUCAAGAAACUCAAGUUACUAUAGAAGAAAUUACUCCACUUGUCCCUCCACAAUCUGGAGACAAAGGACAAGAAGAUCUUACAAGCUACUUUCUAGAAGCACUUUUGAAAUACAUGGUAAUCCAGGUUAAGAGUUUGGAAUGGAAGAACAAGGAAAACCAAGAAAAGGGAUUUUCAUUUUUGUUUUCAAAUUUUAAGAAAUACUAUUUGCCUUAUAUGUUCCCAAACAUCUGUAAGGAGACCAGCUUGUAUAACCCUGUACUUGAAAUACCACAGAUGAGACCAAAGCCCCACUACAUAAUGAUAAAGAAAGAUGCGGAAACCAAUGAAGCAAUAUAUUGCACAAAAGAACCUUUCCUUAAGGCUCGUGUUAUUGUCAUUCGAUGGUUGGUGUCUUUCUGGCUUGAGCCAAAACCUCAUGCUGGACCUCAUAUUCCUGGAGUGGAAGGUGAAAAUGUGCCAAAGAAUAUUCAGAGAGCAGCUGCUAGCAUGGCUUCAAGGGAAGACAGCAAAAAUGACAAUGGUGAUAGACAAGAUAGAAAUGCAGAACCAGAACAAUCUCAUUCUAAUACUAGCACCCUGACAGAAAGAGAGCCAAGUUCCUCUAGCCUCUGCAGUAUGGAUGAAGAACACCUAACUGAUAUUGAAAUAGUCCGUAAAGUCUUUUCUUCUAAAAGAAAUAAUGUUAACUUUCUUAUUGAGAUAUUUCGACAGGCAUUUUUGUUGCCUAUUUGUGAAGCAGCUGCCAUGAGGAAAGUGGUGAAAGUAUACCAGGAGUGGAUACAACAGGAAGAUAAACCUUUAUUUAUGAAAGAACCUGAAGAAAUAAUGCAGUCUACAAAUAUAGAUUGUGAUGAAAAUGUUGCAGAGCAUAAUUCAGUAGAGACCGCAAAAGAGAGAGAGGAGGAAAAAACGACAAAUUCUAGUCACAUCCAGAAUUCAAGUUGGACAAGAAAUGGCUGCUAUCAAAAUAAAAUAUCCGAAGUAGAUAUUGAAGAGCAAAGUGUACGAGCGGGAAUGCAGUCAGUAUUGCAGGUUUUUAUAAUCAACUCUUCAAAUAUAUUCUUUCUUGAACCUGCAAAUGAAAUGAAAAAUCUUCUGGAUGAGCACACUGAUAUGUGUAAACGCAUUCUUAAUAUCUACCGUCACAUGGUGGUGCAAGUAACAAUGGACAAGAAAACUUGGGAACAGAUGCUGCUUGUGCUGCUCCGGGUCACAGAAUCUGUGCUGAAAAUACCACCCCCAACUUUCCUGCAAUACUACGGAAGAAAGAAUUCUACUUUAGCAGGAAGACUCGCAGGACCUCUUUUCCAGACACUUAUAGUAGCCUGGAUCAAAGCAAAUCUAAAUGUGUACAUCUCCCGAGAACUUUGGGAUGACUUGUUGUCAGUAAUGUCAUCUCUGACAUACUGGGAAGAGCUUGCCACUGAGUGGUCACUGACUAUGGAGACACUAACUAAAGUAUUAGCUAGAAACUUGUAUAGCCUGGACCUCAGUGACUUACCAUUGGAUAAAUUAAGUGAACAGAAACAGAAAAAGCACAAAGGCAAAGGAGUUGGGCAUGAGUUCCAAAAAUCAUCUGUUGAUAAGUCAUUUUCUAGAGGCUGGAGCCGUGAUCAGCCUGGACAGGCUCCAAUGAGACAGCGCAGUGCUACAACUACUGGAUCUCCAGGAACAGAAAAGGCAAGAAGCAUAGUACGGCAAAAAACAGUUGCCAUGAGAAGCCGAUCCAUUGGUGAAUGUGCUCUGCCAUCGGCCUAUAUACGCAGUGCUAAAAGUGCUCCUGUUCUGAUCCAUACUUCCAAACCCUUCUUGCCUGAUAUUGUUCUCACUCCCCUUUCUGAUGAGCUUUCAGACAUUGAUGAUGCUCAAAUUCUUCCGCGUCCAUCUCGAGUCAGGCAUUUUUCACAGAGUGAGGACACACCAAGUGAAGUUUUUGGCACAUUGAAUGAAGAACAGCCAUUGCCGCGAAGUAGCAGUACGUCUGACAUCCUGGAACCAUUUGCAGUUGAACGAGCCAAAGUUAAUAGAGACGACUUGAGUCAAAAGCCACACCCUGUUGGUAGUGAUAUUGGCAGUAGCAAUACAAAUGUUCCUGACCUUAUGGAUGAAUUUAUAGCUGAGAGACUCCGCAGUGGUAGUGCAUUGAAUGUGACAAGAAGAGGUAGCAGUCCUGGCAGCCUAGAAGUUCCAAAAGAUCUUCCUGACAUAUUGAACAAGCAAAACCAAAUGCGUCCUAUAGAUGAUCCAGGUGUUCCUUCUGAAUGGACCUCUCCUGCUAGUGCAGGAAGCAGUGAUCUUAUCAGUUCAGAUAGCCAUUCUGACUCAUUCAGCGCUUUCCAGUAUGAUGGCCGCAAAUUUGAAAAUUUCAGCUUUGGUACUGAUGCUGGGACACCGGCUUCCACUGAGAUUGAUGCAAUUUCAGGACACCAGCAAAGUGCUGAGGAACAAGAAGUGGCUAGUUUAACUACACUCCACAUAGAUUCUGAAACAAGUAGUCUUAACCAGCAACCAUUGUCUGCUGAAGCUGCAACUAUCACUGGCUCUGAAAGCGCUUCUCCAAUCCAGUCUGCUCUUGGAUCCCGAUCACAGACACCCUCUCCUGCCACUCUGAAUGCAGAUCAUAUAGAACAGAAGGAUCUGCAGCUGGAUGAAAAGCUCCACCACUCUGUUUUACAGACGCCAGAUGACCUAGGCAAAACUAGUGAAUUCCCUUCAGAAUGUUGCAGUGUGAUGGCGGGGGGAACGCUUACAGGAUGGCAUGCAGAUGUUGCUACUGUAAUGUGGAGACGAAUGCUUGGAAUUUUGGGAGAUGUCAACAGCAUUACAGACCCAGAGAUUCAUGCCCAAGUUUUUGAUUAUCUCUGUGAACUCUGGCAGAACCUGGCUAAGAUAAGAGAUAAUCUUGGUAUUUCAACCGAUAAUCUGACUUCACCGUCUCCACCAAUUUUAAUCCCACCAUUGAGAAUUCUAACUCCAUGGCUUUUCAAGGCAACCAUGUUGACUGAUAAAUACAAACAAGGCAAGCUACAUGCUUAUAAACUUAUUUGUAAGACAAUGAAGCGAAGACAAGAUGUUUCUCCAAAUCAGGACUUUUUAACUCAUUUCUACAAUAUAAUGCAUUGUGGACUUCUUCAUGUUGAUCAGGAUAUUGUCAAUACAAUCAUCAAGCACUGUUCUCCUCAGUUUUUUUCCCUUGGUUUGCCUGGUGCUACCAUGCUUAUUAUGGAUUUCAUUGUAGCAGCUGGUAGAGUGGCAGCUUCUUCUCUUCUCAAUGCACCAAGAGUGGAAGCACAAGUUCUUUUGGGAUCUCUGGUGUGCUUUCCCAAUUUAUAUCGUGAACUACCAGCUCUACAUCCAAACACACCUGAUAUUGCUGUAUCUCAAUUCACUGAUGUCAAGGAACUCAUAGUCAAAACUGUAUUAAGUUCUGCCAGGGAAGAGCCAUCUGGUCCUGCACGAUGUGUUGCUCUUUGCAGCCUUGGCAUUUGGAUCUGUGAGGAGCUAGUUCAUGAAUCGCAUCAUCCUCAGAUCAAGGAAGCACUGAAUGUGAUUUGUGCGUCUUUAAAGUUUCCAAAUAAAACAGUAGCGCACGUUGCCUGCAAUAUGCUCAGCAUGCUGAUUCAUUAUGUACACAGGCUUCAAGCAUACCAAGCUGAUUUACCUUUGAAAAUUAUUCAAAUUCUGGUAGCAACUAUUACUCACCUUCUGCCUGGGACAGAAGCUGCUUCUUAUGAACAGGACAAGAGGUUGGUAGUAUCUUUACUACUCUGUUUGUUGGACUGGAUAAUGGCCUUGCCUUUAAAGACCUUACUGCAACCUGUUCACACUACAGAUGAAAAUGAUAAGACUGAAAAAUCUGUUCUGCAUUGUAUAUUCAAGGUUCUGCAUGGAUGUGUCUAUGGAGCUCAAUGUUUUGGCACCCCAAAGUAUUUUCCUCUAAGUUUUUCUGAUUUGGCAUCUAUGGAUUAUGAUCCUUUUAUGCCUUUAGAAAGUCUGAAAGAACCAGAACCACUACAUUCUCCAGACUCAGAACGGUCUUCUAAACUUCAGCCAGUCACAGAAGUGAAAACCCAUAUGCAACAAGGAUUGAUCUCCGUUGCAGCUCGUACUGUAGUAACUCAUUUAGUGAACCACUUAGGCCACUAUCCAAUGAGUGGAGGCCCUGCCAUGUUAACUAGUCAAGUUUGCGAAAACAAUGAUAACCCUUACAGUGAGAGUCCUGAACUUUCUCCUGAACUUUUUGAGAGUCCAAACCUUCAGUUCUUUGUGCUAAACAAUACUUCCUUAGUCUCUUGUAUACAAAUCCAAGCUGAAGAGAAUAUGCCUGGGGGAGGAUUGUCUGCUGGACUCGUAUCUGCUAAUCCAAAUGUCAGAAUUAUAGUGCGUGAUCUGUCUGGUAAAUAUUCAUGGGAUUCUGCAAUUUUGUAUGGGCCAUCAUCUUUAUGUGGAUCGUCACAACAAACUGCUUUUGCGCUUUCUUUAUAUGAGCAAGAGAAACCAGAUGAUGCCCCAUCUUUCAGUGAGUUCGUAGAGGAUGUAGCUAUAAGGGAUGGAAUUACACUCCAUGCAAAAAGAACAUUUAGAGAAACUGUGCCAACAUGGGAUACAAUUAGGGAUGAGGAAGAUGCUCUUGAUGAGCUCUUGCAGUAUUUAGGUAUCACUAGUCCUGAAUGCUUACAGAGAACAGGAGUCUCACUCAAUACACCAGCUCCUCAACCAAUCUGUAUCUCAGAAAAACAGGAAAAUGAUGUAAUCAAUGCAAUUCUUAAGCAAGACACAGAAGAGAGAGAAUUUGUUGAAAAACACUUUAAUGACUUAAAUAUGAAAGCUGUGGAACAGAAUGAACCAACCCCCCAGAAGCCCCAGUCAGCAUUUUACUAUUGCAGAUUACUUCUCAGCAUACUGGGUAUGAAUUCUUGGGAUAAAAGAAGAAGCUUUCAUCUCUUGAAGAAAAAUGAGAAGUUACUUCGAGAACUUAGAAAUUUGGACUCACGACAAUGCAGAGAGACUCACAAGAUUGCAGUAUUUUAUGUUGCUGAGGGCCAAGAAGAUAAACACUCCAUCCUCACAAAUACUGGAGGGAGCCAAGCCUAUGAAGAUUUUGUAGCAGGCCUUGGUUGGGAGGUAAAUCUCACAAACCAUUGUGGUUUUAUGGGAGGACUGCAAAAAAACAAAAGUACUGGGUUGACCACUCCAUAUUUUGCUACCUCUACAGUGGAAGUGAUGUUCCAUGUGUCAACAAGAAUGCCUUCUGAUUCCGAUGACUCUCUAACUAAAAAGCUAAGACAUUUAGGAAAUGAUGAAGUGCACAUUGUCUGGUCAGAGCAUACUCGAGACUACAGGAGAGGAAUAAUUCCUACAGAAUUUGGUGAUGUUCUCAUUGUUAUCUAUCCAAUGAAAAACCAUAUGUUCAGUAUCCAGAUUAUGAAAAAACCUGAGCUAGAAACAAGAGAGAGACCUGGAAUCUUGUAAGGAGCUAGAGCCCCGUGGAACACUAGGAGGUAUAUUGCAGAUGACCAGUAAUCCACAGACACCAGUUCUAAAGUGUUGAAGGAAACCAGGAUGAUGAUUGGUUCCCUUCUUUGGUCCACUUUUCGAUGGUGCUAUUGUGAACGGAAAAAUUCUUCCUAUUAUGGUUCGUGCAACAGCUAUAAAUGCAAGCCGAGCACUGAAAUCGCUGAUCCCAU